rnacentral:rRNA from 1 species
GAUGAACGCUGGCGGCGUGCCUAACACAUGCAAGUCGAACGGAGUCGUUUUGGAAAUCUCUUCGGAGAUGGAAUUCUCGACUUAGUGGCGGACGGGUGAGUAACGCGUGAGCAAUCUGCCUUUAAGAGGGGGAUAACAGUCGGAAACGGCUGCUAAUACCGCAUAAAGCAUUAAAUUCGCAUGUUUUUGAUGCCAAAGGAGCAAUCCGCUUUUAGAUGAGCUCGCGUCUGAUUAGCUAGUUGGCGGGGUAACGGCCCACCAAGGCGACGAUCAGUAGCCGGACUGAGAGGUUGAACGGCCACAUUGGGACUGAGACACGGCCCAGACUACUACGGGAGGCAGCAGUGGGGAAUAUUGCGCAAUGGGGGAAACCCUGACGCAGCAACGCCGCGUGAUUGAAGAAGGCCUUCGGGUUGUAAAGAUCUUUAAUCAGGGACGAAACAAAUGACGGUACCUGAAGAAUAAGCUCCGGCUAACUACGUG